rnacentral:rRNA from 1 species
UACAGGGGGGGCAAGCGUUGUUCGGAAUUACUGGGCGUAAAGGGUUCGUAGGUGGCCAACUAAGUCAGACGUGAAAUCCCUCAGCUUAACUGGGGAACUGCGUCUGAGACUGGAUGGCUUGAGUGCAGGAGAGGAACGCGGAAUUCCAGGUGUAGCGGUGAAAUGCGUAGAUAUCUGGAGGAACACCGGUGGCGAAGGCGGCGUUCUGGACUGCUACUGACACUGAGGAACGAAAGCCAGGGGAGCAAACGGG